rnacentral:rRNA from 1 species
AGAGUUUGAUCCUGGCUCAGGAUGAACGCUGGCGGCGUGCUUAACACAUGCAAGUCGAACGAAGCACUCUAUUUGAUUUUCUUCGGAAAUGAAGAUUUUGUGACUGAGUGGCGGACGGGUGAGUAACGCGUGGGUAACCUGCCUCAUACAGGGGGAUAACAGUUGGAAACGACUGCUAAUACCGCAUAAGCGCACGGUAUCGCAUGGUACAGUGUGAAAAACUCCGGUGGUAUGAGAUGGACCCGCGUCUGAUUAGCCAGUUGGUGGGGUAACGGCCUACCAAAGCGACGAUCAGUAGCCGACCUGAGAGGGUGACCGGCCACAUUGGGACUGAGACACGGCCCAAACUCCUACGGGAGGCAGCAGUGGGGAAUAUUGCACAAUGGGGGAAACCCUGAUGCAGCGACGCCGCGUGAACG